UCGGUGAAACGUUUUAACAGCUGCGGUAUUUUAACUGUACUAAGGUAGCAUAAUAAUUUGCCUUAUAAUUUGAGGCUAGAAUGAAUGGUUUGACGAAGGUUAAUCUGUCUCCACUUUAUUUUUUAGAAAUUAAUUUUCAUAGUGAAAAAGCUUGAAUUUUUUAAGGGGACGAGAAGACCCUACUGAGCUUAUAAUUUUAUUAAGACAUAUAUUCAUAUAUAUUGUGUUAUAUAAAUUUUAAUUGGGGUGAUUAAGGAAUAAUAUAAUUAUUAUAAAUGUAACUUCCUUAGAAAUAUUAUAUUGUUGAAUAAAGUAACCGAUAAAUUAAUAUAACUAUUAUGUAUUGCUUAUAAUAUAGUUACCAUAGGGAUAACAGCGUAAUUUACUUAGAGAGUUCUUAUUGAAAAGUAAGAUUGCGACCUCGAUGUUGGAUUAAAGUAACCUUAAGGUGCAGAAGCUUUAUGGGGUAAAUCUGUUCGAUUUU
rnacentral:rRNA from 1 species